rnacentral:rRNA from 1 species
GAUCAACGCUGGCGGCGUGCCUAACACAUGCAAGUCGAACGGUAAGGCCCUUCGGGGUACACGAGUGGCGAACGGGUGAGUAACACGUGGGUGAUCUGCCCUGCACUUCGGGAUAAGCCUGGGAAAUUGGGUCUAAUACCGGAUAGGACCCUGGGAUGCAUGUCCUGGGGUGGAAAGCUUUUGCGGUGUGGGAUGGGCCCGCGGCCUAUCAGCUUGUUGGUGGGGUGAUGGCCUACCAAGGCGACGACGGGUAGCCGGCCUGAGAGGGUGACCGGCCACACUGGGACUGAGAUACGGCCCAGACUCCUACGGGAGGCAGCAGUGGGGAAUAUUGCACAAUGGGCGCAAGCCUGAUGCAGCGACGCCGCGUGAGGGAUGACGGCCUUCGGGUUGUAAACCUCUUUCAGCACAGACGAAGCGCAAGUGACGGUAUGUGCAGAAGAAGGACCGGCCAACUACGUGCCAGCAGCCGCGGUAA